rnacentral:rRNA from 1 species
CCUACGGGUGGCUGCAGUGAGGAAUAUUGGUCAAUGGGCGCGAGCCUGAACCAGCCAAGUAGCGUGAAGGAUGACUGCCCUACGGGUUGUAAACUUCUUUUAUAAAGGAAUAAAGUGAGGCACGUGUGCCUUUUUGUAUGUACUUUAUGAAUAAGGAUCGGCUAACUCCGUGCCAGCAGCCGCGGUAAUACGGAGGAUCCGAGCGUUAGCCGGAUUUAUUGGGUUUAAAGGGAGCGUAGAUGGGUUGUUAAGUCAGUUGUGAAAGUGUGCGGCUCAACCGUAAAAUUGCAAUUGAUACUGGCAGGCUUGAGUACAGUUGAGGUAGGCAGAAUUCGUGGUGUAGCGGUGAAAUGCUUAGAGAUGACGAAGAACUCCGAUUGCGAAGGCAGCUUACUAAACUGCCACUGACAUUGAGGCUCGAAAGUGUGGGGAUCAAACAGGAUUAGAUACCCGUGUAGUC